CAGUCGAACGAUGAAGCCUUUCGGGGUGGAUUAGUGGCGAACGGGUGAGUAACACGUGGGCAAUCUGCCCUUCACUCUGGGACAAGCCCUGGAAACGGGGUCUAAUACCGGAUAACACUCUGUCCCGCAUGGGACGGGGUUGAAAGCUCCGGCGGUGAAGGAUGAGCCCGCGGCCUAUCAGCUUGUUGGUGGGGUAAUGGCCUACCAAGGCGACGACGGGUAGCCGGCCUGAGAGGGCGACCGGCCACACUGGGACUGAGACACGGCCCAGACUCCUACGGGAGGCAGCAGUGGGGAAUAUUGCACAAUGGGCGAAAGCCUGAUGCAGCGACGCCGCGUGAGGGAUGACGGCCUUCGGGUUGUAAACCUCUUUCAGCAGGGAAGAAGCGAAAGUGACGGUACCUGCAGAAGAAGCGCCGGCUAACUACGUGCCAGCAGCCGCGGUAAUACGUAGGGCGCAAGCGUUGUCCGGAAUUAUUGGGCGUAAAGAGCUCGUAGGCGGCUUGUCACGUCGGAUGUGAAAGCCCGGGGCUUAACCCCGGGUCUGCAUUCGAUACGGGCUAGCUAGAGUGUGGUAGGGGAGAUCGGAAUUCCUGGUGUAGCGGUGAAAUGCGCAGAUAUCAGGAGGAACACCGGUGGCGAAGGCGGAUCUCUGGGCCAUUACUGACGCUGAGGAGCGAAAGCGUGGGGAGCGAACAGGAUUAGAUACCCUGGUAGUCCACGCCGUAAACGUUGGGAACUAGGUGUUGGCGACAUUCCACGUCGUCGGUGCCGCAGCUAACGCAUUAAGUUCCCCGCCUGGGGAGUACGGCCGC
rnacentral:rRNA from 1 species